rnacentral:rRNA from 1 species
GACGAACGCUGGCGGCGUGCUUAACACAUGCAAGUCGAACGGAAAGGCCCUGCUUUUGUGCGGUGCUCGAGUUGCGACCGGGUGAGUAACACGUGAGUACCCUGCACCUGCCUGUGGGAUAACUUCAGGAAACUGGGGCUCAUACCGGCUAGGAGCUCCUGCCGCAUGGUGGGGGUUGGUAAGUUUAGGCGGUUGGGGAUGGACUGGCGGCUUAUGAGCUUGAUGGUUGGGUAGUGGCUUACCAAGGCUUUGACGGGUAGCCGGCCUGAGAGGGUGACCGGCCACAUUGGGACGGGGAUACGGCCCAGACUCCUACGGGAGGCAGCAGUGGAGAAUAGUGCACAAUGGGCGGAAGCCUGAUGCAGCAACGCCGCGUGCGGGAUGACGGGCUGCGGGUAGGAAACCGCUGCCGCCUGUGACGAAGCGUGAGUGACGGUAAUGGGUAAAGAAGCACCGGCUAACUACGUG